CAGAGCAGAGGUGAAAUUCUGCAAAGUGAAAGACGAUAAGAUUCGCCUGUCUACAAGUCAAAUAAUUUGCAUAGCUGCAAUCAGCGUCUUUAUAACGUGGGUUUUUAUUGGAACAUUCCUGGAGAUUCUGAUUAUACAGAAUAUAGUUAAUGUUCCUUGUGAUAAAGGCAAAAUUCUACAGAGCUUCGUUUCAGUAUCUUUAAUUACAUCAAAUCAAAAACUUUUCACUACCGACUUCAAUAACGAGACAAGAUUUAUUUGUGGAAUUAAAUUCUUACUUACUUGUAUCAUAGUUUUUUCACAUUUAAUCUUACAUUCGGGAAUUGUGUAUACAACAACAGGUAAAUGAAUACUAAUUUUUAAUAUUUACAGAUAAUUUUUAAUAUUUAAAAAUCGUAAUAAUUAUAAAUUGUUCUGUACACAUCUUAUCGCAUUAUUUUAUAUAAAACAUUAAACAUUUUAUACAUAAAAAACAUUAUGAAACUCCAUAAAUUUGUAAAGCCAAACAACCAUCGGAUUACAUUAGGCUACUUUUCCGCGAUUAUAUAUGUCAGAUCCGAAUAGC